GAUAGAAGAAGUCUCGCGCUCCGCUCUUUCACGCUCAGAUAGCCAAGCUCUGGACGUCGACCGAUGAAUGGGCAAUACGAAAAGUUGGCCCCCGUCUGCACGUGUGGUGCUUGGAAGGGGCAGGAUGCCGCGACAUGCCGAGAAGCCCCCCGGCGCGGUUCCCUUGUUCUCGGUGCCAGCAAUGAGGCACGCACGUUGGCCAUCAGUAAACAGGGCAGCCACGUCUGCUUUACAGAAGAACUCCAAGCUCCAGUGUCACUGCCCAGAGCCACCGCAGGAUCUUUCCGACGAGCGACCUCUUUGCCACGUGUACGUUCCCCACGGGCUAGCCCUGCGAAGCGAGUCAGAACCAGUCGGCGAGCCAGAUCUCCCCGUCGACGAUCCGGUUCUCAUAGUUUCAAGCCUCCAAAGGUGCGACGCAGACGAUCGCGACACACGAAGCUGGGACAAAUAAAUUACAGUGGACUGGACUCUGGCUGGAUCUACCGCUACGCUUUCGGCUCGCCUUCCAGUCCCCAGUAUCCUCCACAACCAGCAGCCCUGUUUUAGCCCCCGACGCCUCAGUGGCGGGUCAGUGCCAGCCGAGCUCCCUCGGCCAAGUGCAGCCACCUGCAGUGUUACCGGUGGUACCACAGGUGCAAGUGCCGGUACUGUUGCCCGCCAGCACACCGUUCAAGGUGAUCCGACCGGAGCGGCGGCUUUACUGGUACUCGGAGAGGCAACUGCACACUUCCUUCCUGCCUCAACCCGAUUCACCUGGGUGGGAGUCCGCAGUACGGUUCAGCUUGGCUAUCGUCGGCGCCAUGAUAUUGAUACUGACAGUCAUUGUCGCGGCGUACAUCACUAUGAUGUCGAAGCCAGACCGUGCAGAGGAGGACGUCUUCGAGUCAUUCACACCUCCGGAGUCGGGUCACAUCUGAUUACUACGAUUACAGCCUGCGCCACAAUAUUAUAUGCACCUCCAUGCGUUUCCAACA